rnacentral:lncRNA from 1 species
CAACCAUGGUAUGGUUGGGAAGUUUUUGACGAUGCUUUGCCCAAAGCUGAUCCAAAGUUGAUUUUUGGUAGUAAAUCUUAUCAAGUUAAUGUCGUCAUCCUAGGCCUUCACUCAACUUGUUCGAGGAUAAAGAAUGCCAAUUGGCCCUAUCAUGUCUCCAAAGGGUUAGCACCUUUAGCAUCAUCCUCAUCCUCCACUCAACUUA